UACGUAGGGUGCAAGCGUUAAUCGGAAUUACUGGGCGUAAAGCGUGCGCAGGCGGUUGUGCAAGACAGGUGUGAAAUCCCCGGGCUUAACCUGGGAACUGCACUUGUGACUGCACAGCUGGAGUACGGCAGAGGGGGGUGGAAUUCCACGUGUAGCAGUGAAAUGCGUAGAGAUGUGGAGGAACACCGAUGGCGAAGGCAGCCCCCUGGGCUAACACUGACGCUCAUGCACGAAAGCGUGGGGAGCAAACAGG
rnacentral:rRNA from 1 species